GGAAAGACUACACUUCUAAGUCUGCUCGUUGGAGGGUGAGAGGGUCGACACCAGGAGGUUCAAUUACUUAUAAUGACCAGCCAUAUUCGAAGUUCCUAAAGAGCAGGAUAGGAUUCGUGACUCAAGACGACGUGCUCUUUCCUCACCUUACAGUGAGGGAAACAUUAACAUAUGCAG